rnacentral:rRNA from 1 species
ACUCACCUCCUUGUCUUUCCCGCCUAUAUACCGCCGUCGUCAGCUUACCCUUUGAGGGAUCCAUAGUAAGCACAAUUGGCACAGCCCAGUACGUCAGGUCGAGGUGUAGCUAAUGAGAGGGGAUGAGAUGGGCUACAUUUCCUAAACAAGGAAAUACGAACAAUUGUUCUGAAACGAACAUUAGAAGGAGGAUUUAGUAGUAAGUAGGAAGCAGAGAGUUCUACUGAAAUUGGCCAACUUAAGCGCGUACACACCGCCCGUCACUCUCCCCGAGCAAAUAAAUCACUAUACCUAAUUAUCCCACACCUGCAAUUACAGGGGAGGCAAGUCGUAACAUGGUAAGUGUACCGGAAGGUGCACUUGGAUAAAU